rnacentral:rRNA from 1 species
UAGGGAAUCUUCCGCAAUGGGCGAAAGCCUGACGGAGCAACGCCGCGUGAGUGAUGAAGGUCUUCGGAUCGUAAAACUCUGUUAUUAGGGAAGAACAAAUGUGUAAGUAACUAUGCACGUCUUGACGGUACCUAAUCAGAAAGCCACGGCUAACUACGUGCCAGCAGCCGCGGUAAUACGUAGGUGGCAAGCGUUAUCCGGAAUUAUUGGGCGUAAAGCGCGCGUAGGCGGUUUUUUAAGUCUGAUGUGAAAGCCCACGGCUCAACCGUGGAGGGUCAUUGGAAACUGGAAAACUUGAGUGCAGAAGAGGAAAGUGGAAUUCCAGGUGUAGCGGUGAAAUGCGCAGAGAUAUGGAGGAACACCAGUGGCGAAGGCGACUUUCUGGUCUGUAACUGACGCUGAUGUGCGAAAGCAUGGGGAUCAAACAGG